rnacentral:rRNA from 1 species
AGGGCACCACCAGGAGUGGAGCCUGCGGCUUAAUUUGACUCAACACGGGAAAACUCACCCGGCCCGGACACUGGAAGGGUUGACAGAUUGAGAGCUCUUUCUUGAUUCAGUGGGUGGUGGUGCAUGGCCGUUCUUAGUUGGUGGAGCGAUUUGUCUGGUUAAUUCCGAUAACGAACGAGACUCUAGCCUACUAAAUAGAUCGUCGGCUUACAAACGCCGAUGAGACUUCUUAGAGGGACAGGCGGCGAUUCAGCCGCACGAAGCAGAGCAAUAACAGGUCUGUGAUGCCCUUAGAUGUCCGGGGCCGCACGCGCGCUACACUGAAGUGAUCAGCGUGCAUUUUCAGCCUACUCUGCCAAGAGUGGGAAACCCAAUGAACCCUCUUCGUGAUUGGGAUAGAGGAUUGUAAUUAUUCCCCUUGAACGAGGAAUUCCCAGUAAGCGCGAGUCAUAAGCUCGCGUUGAUUACGUCCCUGCCCUUUGUACACACCGCCCGUCGCUACUACCGAUUGAAUGUUUU